UUUGAAAAGUUUAUUUCUCCUCUUUCCCCUCCCAACACCGCCCGCAUCCCUGCUCCUGCCGAUGUGGCAGACAAUAGCUUGGCUUUAGCUGCUGCGCAGAACCCGCUAGCCUUUUAUUUCCACUUAAAACUCGCCUGAUUGACCCUAACAAACAGCUGCGGUUUACUUUUGUCCUUUUGGAGGGUUGCUGAGUUUUUGGGCUGUUUCAAGUUGGUAACAACUGAAUGCUGGAAUCACUGAUGACCUUCCCAGUGCCCCCGAUUUCACUCCAACUUGAAACUGUUGCUUUUCGGUCUGGGUGGGAAUUCAGCCCCCAUCCUGUUAAGUUUCCUUUUCUUGGCCGCAUGCAACAGAGUGGAGGUUUCUCAGAAGAGGGACACAAAGAGCAGAGUUAGGCUACCAGCUCGUCACCCGGAUGGGAGGACAGCGGCUGCCUUUAAAGGAAACAAGCCCUUGGCUCUUCUGUGUGGACCUAAGAUUGUGCCUGACCGAGCCCAAGUCCUUUAAACUUAAAAACAAAAACAAAAGAGCUUUGUUCCUCCUCUUCUGCAACCUCCAUUUCUCUAACCACUGAUCAUCUGGAGUUAAGCAGACCAAGGCAGCAGGACCUGAAAUGGUUUCAAAGCCUGCUUGGAACAAAAAGCUGAGUGUCUUUUUUUUUUUUCUUUUUAGGAGAAAUAAGAGCAGCUGCACUGAAAAAGUAAAAAUGCUGGGAUGAAGUCAACAGCUCUUUUGUUCUUCCUCUAGAUAUUCUGGUGAGUAAAACAUCACCUGCCAACGCACCUCAGGCUGGGGCUGGUCUGUAACUAGAUCUGAUUUGCUCUGCAGGUUGGUUUGAUGUGCCCAGAUGUCGAUCUCAUGCAUCUAGCUAAGGAAAUACCCCACAACUGAAAACCCAGAGGGGAAAAAGGGAGGAGAGAGAAAAAUUACGGCAGAUUAAAGCUUUACAGUCAGAUGACACUAAAGCGUUAAAGCCGGGUGAAAACUCAGCUCCUCUUUCCUUGCAUCUCACCAUGACUGAGAGGAUUUAAGGUUCAUCUGCUCCCCUGGCAGAACCAGACAGCGUACCUUUAUGCACAAAGCAAAACCAGCAGCCAAAAAGAGAGACUAUUGAAUUACUGGAAUUUGGGUAUCCCUGAGGAGUACUUUUCUGAGCACUGCAGAUAGUCCAGCUAUUUGCAGCUCGUGAUCCCAUGGCACCAACCCUCACCACGGCCAGGGUGAUGUGAUGUUACUUUCCAGGGGCUGCUGGAAAGAGGGUGGCUGGUGUAGCCAGAGGGACUGAGGAGAAGUCAUCUGGGCACCAGCAGCCUGAUUGCGGAUCCUGGGUGAAGGACACCCACAACCAUAACAAAAUGCAACAUUAUGUUUUGUCUUGGCUGCCUGGGCUUUGGGGCCAUUGCUCAUGAUGACACACUAUCUUUGUGAGGGGCUGAGGCACCAGUCUGGGUGCUUAAUUCUUCCCACUGAUGUUGCUGAGGAUUUAGAUGUCAACAUAGGAACUGGCCUGUCCCAAUGUGCUGGGCCAUGCUGGCUCCUGCUCUGUAGGGCUCCUGUUACUUUGUGGUUUGUGAUUCUUUAUCAGCUCACUGCUCCUUCAUCAGCUCACUCCUCAUCUGGCUUUGCAGCACUUCUGCUGCAUGUGAAAGAAACAGAUGUAAGACUAAACAUCCAUAUGACCGACAGAAACAAAAAAUAAAACAGGAAAGGAAAGGGGAGGGGAAAGAUAGGGAACCGUGAGAAACCAUCAUCACUUCUCAGCGAGAUGGUCGAUCUCAGGAGGCUGGUGGCAAAGAACAAGAAAGUCUUCUCUACCCAUUUCUUUACUUGACUACACAGCAUUCAAAAGCCACCUCUGAGUGCUGAUAUGUGGAUGUUGAUAUCACCCACAGAGACAUCCAUAAAUACCCCACACAACCCUCUCGGGUCCAUGUGGAGGCCAGCUUUAUGAUGGUGUCUAAGACCCCAUGGGUCCUUCUAAUGCAGCAAACCACUUGUAGCAGCUGGAGCGUCUUCUCCUCCCACAAGUGUCCAUAGCUCUAACAUACAGCUCAGUGCCACUCGCAGGUCCAGGUGGGCUCCAGAGGUCACACAUCCCCUAAGCCCAUGUUACAUGUGCUUGAUUCACACCCUGAGGAGUUGAAUACUGGAGUUGAAUGCUCUCUGCGGUGGAUUAGUCACGGCUCGCAUUGAAAUCGUACAGCUGCUGGUACUUCUCCUAAGGAAAAAAAAAAAAAAGACAUCUGGAAAAAAUUUUAGGGAGAAAAAAAAUGAAGAAAAAAGAAACCACAUCUUUUCUAGCUGACAACGUGGCAAUUGCUCAGUGCUCUUCGCUGUAGCCUGAAGCUAAGCCCUCUUCUAAGGGCUUAGACAAAUGACAGUGCGAGAAAGAUAAUUAUAACAGGGACUUCUUUACAUACGUGGCAGCUUAAACCCUGGUUUUGAGCCAAAGCAAAAAGCAGUCUGCUGCAGUGAUGCAGUCACAUCUGGAAACAGCCCCUGAACAGGGUGGUGAGCCCUGGGUGGGUGGGAGCGAGGGGUCCUCACGAUCCUCCUGCCUGCUCAGGGUUACCCUGGACAGGAAAGGAGUGCUAAUUCCUAAUUCGCUUUGCACAUGGUGGGGACAGCUGGGUCCUGUGUCUUGCGCGGGGCACCCUGCCAGGCCCGGGUGUGUGUUCUCAGCCCUGGGAUGGACGAGAAUCACACGGAGAAGGAAACAAGAGCCUGGAGCAACUGGUUUACUGCUCAAUUUCAGCAGCUUUAAGAGGCUCCGUAAAUGACUGGGACCUUGCAAAGGAAGUCCUGAAAAGUCCUCUCCACACAUAUAAGGCUUAGCGGAACUAUCAAAGAGAUUUUGGAGUCAGGCUGCCAGGGAGAAAACUGGACCUCACACAUGCUUUGAAGGUUGUCUUAUGCCAUCUGGGGCACCGGUGCGGCAGGAGGUGGCCCAAGUGGCCUCAUCAGUCUCAGGGUCCAGCUCGGGCUCUCCAACCACAUGCCAGCAAGGUGGUUUGUGCAAAGCUGAUGCUCCUGGCACUUGGUCCCAGCUCAAGUGACCACACAAACUCCAGUAGAAACAGGACAAGCCCCCUUAAGGCUUGAACUCAGUUUACAGCAAAGCCAAGAGGUUUGCAGGGCUGGGGUUUGAACUCCAGCUAACCCCAGUUCAAAAUCCAAAUUUCUUCAUCCCAUCUUAAGCCUGGUUGGGCAGAUCUGGGCUGGCACAGUUGAGAAAACCCUGGUGCUCUUCAAAAGGAGAAAUAUUGUGCUGCAGGAAAAGGAGAGAAUCAGGAGUGAGCAGCUUGGGGGAAGCGAUACAAGUGGGAUUAAUAAUCCUGCUGUCUCCUGCUCACAAAUCUGGCAGUCUAAGGGGCCUUGUCUUCUCUUUGCUCUGUGAGGGAUUCUCUAAUGAGUUUUUCUGGAGAGGAUGUUUCUGUAUUAAUCGCUGGUGGAUACUGCUGUGAAACAAUGAACCAAAAGUGCAUAUAAAUAAACAGGAUGCCCUGGAA